rnacentral:rRNA from 1 species
GACGAACGCUGGCGGCGUGCUUAACACAUGCAAGUCGAACGGAAAGGCCCUGCUUUUGUGGGGUGCUCGAGUUGCGAACGGGUGAGUAACACGUGAGUAACCUGCCCUUGACUUUGGGAUAACUUCAGGAAACUUGGGCUAAUACCGGAUAGGAGCUCCUGCUGCUUGGUGGGGGUUGGAUAGUUUCGGCGGUUGGGGAUGGACUGGCGGCUUAUCAGCUUGUUGGUGGGGUAGUGGAUUACCAAGGCUUUGACGGGUAGCCGGCCUGAGAGGAUGACCGGCCACGUUGGGACUGAGAUGCGGCACAGACUCCUACGGGAGGCAGCAGUGGGGAAGAUUGCACAAUAGGAGGAAGCCUGAUGCAGCAAAGCCGCGUGCGGGAUGACGGCCUUGGGGUUGUAAACCGCUGUCGCCUGUGACGAAGCGUGAGUGACGGUAAUGGGUAAAGAAGCACCGGCUAACUACGUG